UGCAAGUCGAGCGGGCGUAGCAAUACGUCAGCGGCAGACGGGUGAGUAACGCGUGGGAACAUACCUUUUGGUUCGGAACAACACAGGGAAACUUGUGCUAAUACCGGAUGACGUCGGAGCGUCGCAUGGCGAGCUGACGAAAGGGUUACUGGAUCGGGAGAGCCUCGCGGCCUAUCAGCUUGUUGGUGGGGUAACGGCCUACCAAGGCGUCGACGGGUAGCUGGUCUGAGAGGAUGACCAGCCACACUGGGACUGAGACACGGCCCAGACUCCUACGGGAGGCAGCAGUGGGGAAUCUUGCACAAUGGGCGAAAGCCUGAUGCAGCAACGCCGCGUGCGGGAAGAAGGCCUUCGGGUUGUAAACCGCUUUCAGAAGGAACGAAACUGACGGUACUUUCAGAAGAAGGUGCGGCCAACUACGUGCCAGCAGCCGCGGUGAUACGUAGGCACCAAGCGUUGUCCGGAUUUAUUGGGCGUAAAGAGCUCGUAGGCGGUUCAGUAAGUCGGGUGUGAAAACUUUGGGCUUAACCCAAAGCGUGCAUCUGAUACUGCUGUGACUUGAGUUCGGUAGGGGAGUGGGGAAUUCCUAGUGUAGCGGUGAAAUGCGCAGAUAUUAGGAGGAACACCGGUGGCGAAGGCGCCACUCUGGGCCGAAACUGACGCUGAGGAGCGAAAGCAUGGGUAGCAAACAGGAUUAGAUACCCUGGUAGUCCAUGCCGUAAACGUUGGGCACUAAGUGUGGGUCUUCAACCAACGAGAAUCCGCGCCGUCGCUAACGCAUUAAGUGCCCCGCCUGGGGAGGUACGGCCGCAAGGUUAAAACUCAAAGGAAUUGACGGGGGCCCGCACAAGCAGCGGAACGUGGUUGCUUAAUUCGAUGCUACGCGAAGAACCUUACCUGGGCUUG
rnacentral:rRNA from 1 species